rnacentral:rRNA from 1 species
UACGUAGGGUGCGAGCGUUGUCCGGAAUUACUGGGCGUAAAGAGCUUGUAGGUGGUUUGUCGCGUUGUUCGUGAAAUCUCACGGCUCAACUGUGAGCGUGCGGGCGAUACGGGCAGACUAGAGUACUGCAGGGGAGACUGGAAUUCCUGGUGUAGCGGUGAAAUGCGUAGAUAUCUGGAGGAACACCGGUGGCGAAGGCGGCAUCCUGGACCGAGAUUGACGCUGAGGCGCGAAAGCUAGGGGAGCAAACGGG